GGAGAAGGAUUUGAUCCGCUUCUCAAAUUUUCAUAUUCGGCUUCUCUUUCUUCGUCAGUUAUCUUCUCAAUUCAUUUCUGUAAAGGUCUCGACAAUGAGCGAUUCCGGAGAUAUGGACGACAUUGAAGAAGGCCUAUGCGGAUGUACACCGCGAUGCGGCCAAAGAAUCAGUGGCGUAGUAAUGAUUUCGAAGAUGGAAGGUUUUCGGUUUCGAUUGGAGAGUUUGCACGAAUCAGGAUGAAGCACUUCGGAUGCUUGUUAGACGCUUAACGAAGAAUGAAUAGUUAGAGAAAGCGAGAUGAAUAACUUUGGGCUCAAAAUUGAAGCAUAAUAUGUAGUGAAGGAAGAUAUGGUAAGAGUUGCGUGAAGAUCAGGAUAAAUUGGAUAAAGUAACGAACAGGAAAUAAGAAACUAAAUGAAAAAAUUUAGCAAAAAUAUGGCUACUAAGAUAUGUAUGUCAUUGCGGCCUCAGGACUCUCUUAGUCAUGCUGUCAUGGUGAGUCCACCGUUAUGGUUCUCAUCUGGAACAACAGCUCGUCAUCUGGGAAAUGGACAUGUCAGGAAAGUGUAAGCCUAAACAAUGUACCAGUGAUACUGAUUUUUCCUUCAUUAAAAGAAGCACAGAAUUAGAACCUUCUAAAAGUGGCUAUAGAAUCUGUUUAGUGGAAAAGUCUGUUUUCUUGGAGAUUCCUCCCAUGAAAUACAUAGCAGAAGAGAUCAGAAGACCUAAGGGGUACGAGCAAACAUGUGUGUUGAUAUUAUAUGAAAGUGAUGCAGAAAGAUGAUGCUGGUAUCAGGGUGACACUUUUCAGAAAAAGAAAAAGAGUACUGAAAUGUGGGAUAAUAUCAUCUUCUGAACAGGUCCUUUAUUAACGUGGCAUCAGAAUGUAUGAAAUAUCAAUUUUUGUUUCCCCAAAAUUCCAUCAGAUGAUUCUUCCUUGAUGAUGAAGUAUGGAAUUAGAGAAGAUAAAAGUAUUAACAGGAUUCACACAAUACCUUUAAAUGAUGGAAAGUAGCAUUUGCCAUGGGAGAUGAAAAGGAUGAAGCAAUACAUAUACCAGCUGCUAUGAAGAAUUUUGACAUAUUGAAAAGAUGCAAUCAGAGGUAGCAGUAUUAAAUGUCAGUUUCCAGAAAAUGGAAAAAGUUACAAGAAAGAAAAUGGCUCUCCAAACUCCAAACAGGAGAUCAUGGAAAUACAUCAUGACCUAUUUAUCAUUGCUCUGGAAUUCCAUUUGUAGACAACGCUGAACUAAUCGGAAACAAUUUAUCAAUCACAAAUGAUUGUGUACUCUCAAAAACAUUUUUGAAAGUUCUAUCUGAAAAGGAUGAAGUGUUUACAGCACACGCAGAUGCUGAAAGUGAUAUAGGAGUCUGGUGAAACCUUUUGGAAUGUAUGCAUCAAAACCAUCUCAACCAACAAUGUUGUUGAACCGUUAAAAGGUUGUUAACUAAGUUUGACAAGACUGCUUCUGAUUUGAAUGAUGACUCCCACAUGUAACUUAUAAAUAUUUACUUUCUUAAGCCACAAUUUAUUGAAAGCACAAGGACUUGCCAAAUAACUCAGACUGUAAUUCAUCUUGUAAUAAGAUCAUUCAAAGAGGAAGAUGGGGAACAAAGGAAUGGUCUAGUAGAGACUUAGAAUUGAAGCUUCAUGGUUGAAUUCUCAAGAUGUUGGCAAGCAGCACAUUUGCGCAUGAGCAAAUAGUGGUCUUCCUCAUAAGGUGCUGCACAUGUAACGAAUUGACCAUUCGUGAAGCUUUUCAACCUUACAUUUCCAGAUAAUUUUUUUUUACUAUGAGUUUCUAGUCAAAUUAUUUUAAUACGUUUUCACACCAGAAACCUUUUGCCCAUCAAAUAAUUGUGCUACAUUCUGACAUAUUCCUCAAUUUUUUCACAUUGUCAGAUUAUUAUGAUCCAUCAUCAUAUUGAGCAAUCAAUUAGCUGGAUAAAGUCAGCAAAGUGAAGACACUCCAAAGUUGGAUUUUGCUCAAUUAGAAACAUGCUACAUUUGGGAAUCACGAAACAUUUUCAGAUUUGACAUCUUUAUGCCAGGAGGAAGAUAAAAGUGCAAGAUUAACAGGCUAAAGUAAGCAUCUUUUCCCCGUUUGACGGCAAAGUUAGUGGCAGACCACAAGGCCUUCAAAAUAUUGUCCGUAGAGCAUGCCUUGUGAUCUUUUAUUUCAUGGAUCAUUGCUGUGCUCUAUUCAUACACAGAUGGUACAUUGCAUAUCGUGAUGAACAGCAUCGUAUCGUAUACGAGAAAAGGAAAGAAACGAAACGAUGAUUAGAGCUAAGGAGAAACGGUACGCUUACAUCUCAUGUUCCUUCAAAUCCUAUUUCACUCAUAGAAUCUCUUGUUUGAUAAUUUUAUAUCAUUUAUAUAUUGCGUGGAUUUUUUUCCUUUAAAAACAAAUCUUUUUUUUUCAUCUUACGUCCUCUUGUCACUUUCCUCAGAGUUUUUAAAAAACCUUUUUUUAAUAAUAGAUGUGGUACUUGCAAUUAUACUCUUAAGCUUUUAAUUGUAAAAUUGAUCUUCAAACUUAUAUAAUUGUAGGAUUGUUAAAAUUGACCCUCAAACUUAUAUAAUGUUAGAAAUUGUAUAAACUUGAAGGUUUAAUUUUUUUUAAUUUUAUUUCGGAGGUCUUAUUUCUACCAUUAUUGUAAGUCUUUGGGUUAAAAUUUUAACUUAGGUAAGUUUAAGAGUUUAAUUUUUACAAUUGUAAAUUUAAGGGUUCGUUGCAACUACUACCAUAUUUCAUUUCGAAGGUAGUGUUUGCAAUUUUCCCUUAAAAGUAAAACAAGAUGGUUCCCUUAAAAAUAAAAACUUAACCCAACAUAUUUUGAACUUUAGAGCGAAACCGAACCUUUUGUAGCACAAUUAAAUGCGGAAGAUUCAUACCAAAAACAAAUUAUUUGCUAAUACAUUUAUAUAUUAAUUGAGCAGCUAUAUAUAUGCUCGUAUUAGUGAGACCAAUAAAGGCUUAAAUUUUAUAGGCUAAUUAUAGAGAUUUUUUUAUUUAUUGGUGGGGGGAAAUUAAAUUAUUGAUGGAAUGAAUUUCAAAAUUAUUCACGAAUGCGAAAGAAGCCAUUUAAGAAGUGUCUGACAGCUUGAUCUAGGCAAAAAUGUUGGUAGUGCUGUACAAUAGAUAAAAGAUAGAAGAGGAAAGUCCAAGUUUAGGUUUUGGAAGAGGCUGAAUUGGACGCAGAAAAAUGUGUCAUUCUAUUCAUUGAUGGAUUUGGCUUUGGUUGUGGAAGAAAACCAUCAAGCCUUGUUACAAAUUAAUUUGGGGGUUUUGGUCUCAAGUUGAGUCAAAUUGGGUAAAAAACUCACCUAUGAUUCGGUAAUUUCCAAUCACUCUUUCAUAUAAUAAUUAUCUUCUCAACUUAAAUCUUUUGAAUUA